rnacentral:rRNA from 1 species
UACAGAGGGGGCGAGCGUUGUUCGGAAUUACUGGGCGUAAAGGGCGCGUAGGUGGCCUGCUAAGUCGAACGUGAAAUCCCUGGGCUCAACCCAGGAACUGCGUCCGAUACUGGUUGGCUUGAAUCCGGGAGAGGGAUGUGGAAUUCCAGGUGUAGCGGUGAAAUGCGUAGAUAUCUGGAGGAACACCGGUGGCGAAGGCGGCAUCCUGGACCGGUAUUGACGCUGAGGCGCGAAAGCCAGGGGAGCAAACGGG